AGAACGAACGCUGGCGGCAUGCCUAAUACAUGCAAGUCGAACGAACACUUCGGUGUUAGUGGCGCACGGGUGCGUAACGCGUGGGAAUCUGCCCUUGGGUUCGGAAUAACAGUUGGAAACGACUGCUAAUACCGGAUGAUAUCGAAAGAUCAAAGAUUUAUCGCCCAGGGAUGAGCCCGCGUAGGAUUAGCUAGUUGGUGAGGUAAAGGCUCACCAAGGCGACGAUCCUUAGCUGGUCUGAGGGGAUGAUCAGCCACACUGGGACUGAGACACGGCCCAGACUCCUACGGGAGCAGCAGUAGGGAAUAUUGGACAAUGGGCGCAAGCCUGAUCCAGCAAUGCCGCGUGAGUGAUGAAGGCCUUAGGGUUGUAGAGCUCUUUACCGAGAUGAUAAUGACAGUAUCGGAGAAUAAGCCCCGGACUAACUCCGUACCAGCAGCCG
rnacentral:rRNA from 1 species